rnacentral:misc_RNA from 1 species
GAUGAAGAACGCAGCGAAAUGCGAUAAGUAAUGUGAAUUGCAGAAUUCAGUGAAUCAUCGAAUCUUUGAACGCACAUUGCGCCCCCUGGUAUUCCGGGGGGCAUGCCUGUCCGAGCGUCAUUACAACCCUCAAGCUCAGCUUGGUAUUGGUCCCCGCCGACCCGGCGGGCCCUAAAGUCAGUGGCGGUGCCGUCCGGCUCCGAGCGUAGUAAUUCUUCUCGCUCUGGAGGUCCGGUCGUGUGCUCGCCAGCAACCCCCAAUUUUUUUCAGGUUGACCUCGGAUCAGGUAGGGAUACCCGCUGAACUUAAGCAUAUCAAUAAGCGGAGGA